rnacentral:rRNA from 1 species
UGCGCAGGCGGGAUUUUAAGUCAGCGGUGAAAUUUUCAGGCUCAACCUGAACACUGCCGUUGAAACUGGGAUUCUUGAGUAUGGAUGAAGUAGGCGGAAUUCGUUGUGUAGCGGUGACAUGCUUAGAUAUAACGAGGAACUCCGAUUGCGUAGGCAGCUUACUAAGCCAUAACUGACGCUCAAGCACGAAAGCGUGGGAGUCAAACAA